rnacentral:rRNA from 1 species
GAUGAACGCUGGCGGCGUGCCUAAUACAUGCAAGUCGAGCGGACGGGCGAUGAUCUUGCUUGGCUGAUGUUUGGCGCGGGCGUGUGUAUAACACGUGUAUAACCCACCUGUAAUUGGGGUAUAACUUCGGGAAUCCGGCUCUUAUACCGUAGAAUAUUUUGAACCGCAUUGGGGAAUGGUGAAAUACGGUCUUUGUGUCAGGUAUAGAUGGUUCCGCGCUGCAUGAGCUAGUUGGGAAGGUAACGGCUUACCAAGGGAACGAUGCAUAGCCGACCUGAGAGGGUGAUCGGCCACACGGGAACUGAGACACGGUCCAGACUACUACGGGAGGCAGCAGUAGGGAAUCUUACGCAAUGGGCGAAAGCCUGACGGAGCAACGCCGAGUGAGUGAUGAAGGUCUUCGGAUCGUAAAAAUCUGUUAUUAGGGAAGAACAUAUGUGUAAGUAACUGUGCACAUCUUGACGGUAACUAAUCAGAAAGCCACGGCUAACUACGUG